rnacentral:rRNA from 1 species
CAUGAAGCUGGAAUCGCUAGUAAUCGCGGAUCAGAAUGCCGCGGUGAAUACGUUCCCGGGUCUUGUACACACCGCCCGUCACACCAUGGGAGUCGGAAAUGCCCGAAGUCUGUGACCCAACCAUUAAGGAGGGAGCAGCCGAAGGCAGGUCGGAUGACUGGGGUGAAGUCGUAACAAGGUAGC